rnacentral:rRNA from 1 species
UAACUGAGGGAAACUUCAGCUAAUACCGGCCAUAGGCUCGGUAGAAGGAACCUUCUCCGAGUAAAGGAGGCCUCUUAACAAUGCUAUCCGAGCCGAGGACGGUAGGCUAUGUCGCUAUCAGCUAGUGCGUGGGCGUAUACGGCCUACCAAGGCGAUGACGGGUAGCCGACCUGAGAGGGUGACCGUGGCCACACUGGGCGCGAACUGAGGACACUGCCCAGACUCCUACGGGAGGCUGCAGUCGAGAAUCUUCCGCAAUGGCGGGAAACCCUGACGGAGCGACGCCGCGUGCGGGAGGAAGGCCGUGUUCGCGGUAUGUGAACCGCUGUCACGGAUUAUAGAACUGGCCGGGCGCGUUAAUCGCGCUCGUAGGUCUUGACAAAGGUCCGGGAGGAUAGCCACGGCUAACUUCGUGCCAGCUAGCCGGCGUAAGACGAAGGUGGCGAUCCAGUUGUUCGGAAUUUACUGGGCAUAUAAGCGCACGUAGGCGGCAAUGUAAGUCUAGGUGUGAAAUCCCUCGAUGCCCUAACCGAGGAAUUGCGUCUUGAUACUGUGUUGCUUGAGGGCAGGAGGGGAGCGUGGAAUUCGCUGGUGGAAGCGGUGAUAAUGCGUUGAUAUCAGAGGAACACCGCUUGCGGCGAUAGGCGACGCUCUGGCCUGCUUCUGACGCUUGAGGUGCGAAAGCCAGUAGGCAGGAGCAUAAUACGGGGAUUAAGAUACCCGUAGCUCCUGGCCGUAUAUAACGAUGGGCACUAAGU